rnacentral:miRNA from 1 species
CUUGUUAAAAUGCAGAUUCUGA